rnacentral:rRNA from 1 species
CGGCGAAAGCCGGAUUAAUACCGCAUACGACCUAAGGGAGAAAGCGGGGGAUCUUCGGACCUCGCGCUAUAGGGGCGGCCGAUGGCAGAUUAGCUAGUUGGUGGGGUAAAGGCCUACCAAGGCGACGAUCUGUAGCUGGUCUGAGAGGACGACCAGCCACACUGGGACUGAGACACGGCCCAGACUCCUACGGGAGGCAGCAGUGGGGAAUUUUGGACAAUGGGGGCAACCCUGAUCCAGCAAUGCCGCGUGUGUGAAGAAGGCCUUCGGGUUGUAAAGCACUUUUGUCCGGAAAGAAAACUUCGUCCCUAAUAUGGAUGGAGGAUGACGGUACCGGAAGAAUAAGCACC